rnacentral:rRNA from 1 species
UACGUAGGGUGCGAGCGUUGUCCGGAAUUAUUGGGCGUAAAGAGUGUGUAGGCGGUGUUCCAAGUCUGUUGUGAAAUCUCCCGGCUUAACUGGGAGGGUGCGGCGGAAACUGGAAUGCUAGAGGGUGGGAGAGGUAAGCGGAAUUCCUGGUGUAGCGGUGAAAUGCGUAGAUAUCAGGAGGAACACCUGUGGUGUAGACAGCUUACUGGACCACUUCUGACGCUGAGACACGAAAGCGUGGGUAGCAAACAGG